CGGGAUAGUCCGAUCACGGGCCUGGGUCCAUUUAUCAAGAAUGCUGACCAAAGUCAACUUUCAUUAAUUUUAAAGGUUAAUUUCCUUAUUUUACUUAGAUUUCAUAUAAAAGCUUUCCAAAAGCGUGCUUAGACUGCGCAUGCAAAUCGAAGUGAGGCAAAAAAGAGAUUUUAAGGCGUCGGAUCACAGAAUUGACUUGUAAAAUAAGUAUUGACCUUUCAGGUCAUCAUAUUAUCCACCUUUAAAAUGGCCGUUCGUCCUCGAACGGAUAGAGAAAAGAAGUAACUAAGUCCGGGAAAAGAUGGGGACAUCAACUCCGCAUAUCGGACUCAGACUCCCAUUAGCUGCCUCGGCAGGCUAACGUCUCCACUAUACACAGACUGAAGGAUAACUCUUCGAUCUCAACCAACGAACCUGCCGGCUUAGAAUAGCUACCAGCUCAUUUUUAUGGGUCAAGUCCUUGUCCAACUGGACAGUGCUGAAGUCUAAAACAUGGGAUGGAUCGCCAUGAUACUUCCGAAGCAUGGACACCUGAAACAGUGAAUGCACAACUAAUAAACCAGACGGCCACGCAAGCUCGUAAGCCACCUCUCCCACGAAUGGGCCAAAAACAAAUUCAAUUCGGAAAAAGGCUUACGAGGAAGACUGAUGCAAUAGCCUGAUAUUUCU
rnacentral:lncRNA from 1 species